CCAAAAGCAGUUCCUGGGGCCAGGGGGACCUGCCAGGUGGUUCAGAGACCAGCCACCGGAGUGCUGCAGGGCAGCCGCUGAACCCCUGGGGCCCAGGAAAUGGGGGAGUGGGUGGGUGCGAUGGGCCUCUCCUGGGCUCCCUCCCCUGCCAGCAAGGAGGGUGGCGGGAGAGCCACGGGUGCGGCGGGGACCCGGCAGACCCGCGCUGGCCAGAGAAGGGCAGGGCCUGGAGGAGGCUCCACGGCCACAGCUACAGCUUUGUGCUGCGGUCGGAGCGCGCUCGCCGAGGCCUGGGUUUGCUCGCUGAGAAACUUCCCGGACGGUGCAAAGUCCACUAGUAUUGGAAAAUUUAAAAUGACCUGUCUGGAGUCGCAACACAAGUGAAGGCCGAAUCCGUAUCCGAGAUGAGAAUGAGAAGUCCAAGUGUCUCUGCCGGUGGAGGGAUGGAGGGAUGGAGGGAUGGAGGGAUGGAGGGAUGGAGGCAGCUGCUCAACUUUUAAUUAGGCAGCUGCAGCCAGAUGCCCAGGAGGUGCUCAGUUCAGUUCGUGCCUAUCAGAGGACGCACACACGGUGUAUCAGCCCACAGUGCCCUGCCUGCCCACCGCGCAGCCCCAGAUCUGCGCAGCUCUGCUUCCGGCCUAUUCUGGGCUAACCAACGCACUUCUGGACUAUCUCCUUCGUUCUCAGUUGAUGGAAUAUUGUAAAUUCAGCACCAUUGUGAAUGGGGCUUUAGAAAAAUCACCCAGAAUGUUUCAAGGAAAAUUAACCCGUGAAAAAUGUGUGUGUGUGCACUCUUCUCUUUGCAGAUAAUUUAGAGCUGUGAAGAGGGGGCCCUAAUUGCACAGAAGUGCUAGGAGGGGUGAGCUGGUCCUGUCCCAAGCAGGCAUGGUUGCACCUAAGGCUGGUGCAGAAGAAAAAGGCCUUAGGACUGGAAGUCCGGGGCUCUGAGUUCUAGUUCUAAGUCAAUGUGACCCAGCUUUGCUCUCCAGACACAAAUUUCCUUAUGGGGGGAACAGAACUAAUUUUUACUCUUUUCUCCCAACUUGCAAAAGUCUAUGAAUGUGAGUUUGAAGGAGCACCAUUAUGUUGACAAAUAAAGCUGAUGUUUGGGUUA